rnacentral:lncRNA from 1 species
UAAAAUUAUUAGAAAAUCAGUAUGUGGAAUAAUGGUUUGAGGGUCUCUAAAUUGAUGAACAUGAUGUUGGGACAUGAGUUUGGAGAAAGAAAUGCGCUCCAUAGAGACUGCAUUUCUUAUUUGAAAAAUAAAAAAAUCAGUUUGUGACCUCAACAAAUGGGUCACUUCUGUAUUCGUCACCAUUGUUUGGUCUAAAAUUGUUAUAGUUUUUUGUGUCUUAGUCUGAAACCAUAGAGACUGCAUUUCUUAUUUGAAAAAUAAAAAAAUCAGUUUGUGACCUCAACAAAUGGGUCACUUCUGUAUUCGUCACCAUUGUUUUGUCUAAAAUUGUUAUAGUUUUUUGUGUCUUAGUCUGAAACCAUAGAGACUGCAUUUCUUAUUUGAAAAAUAAAAAAAUCAGUUUGUGACCUCAACAAAUGGGUCACUUCUGUAUUCGUCACCAUUGUUUGGUCUAAAAUUGUUGUAGUUUUUUGUGUCUUAGUCUGAAAUACCUUUUCAUAUUUAGAAAGAUGAAUUUUUCUAUUUGUACACUGAGUUGACACCUCGGGUACAUGGGCACCCCUCUUGUGAGGGGGUCGGUACACCGAGGUGUCAGUCUUGAUGUAUGAGUAGACAAAUGCAUUAGAAAGAUACCUAAACUUCAUCUUUAGUUUUC